GGGGGAUAUUGCGCAAUGCGCGAAAGCGUGACGCAGCAACGCCGCGUGGGGGAAGACGGCCUUCGGGUUGUAAACCCCUUUCAGGAGGGACGAAGGUCAUACGGUUAAUAGCCGGCAUGACUGACGGUACCUGCAGAAGAAGUCCCGGCUAACUACGUGCCAGCAGCCGCGGUAACACGUAGGGGACGAGCGUUGUCCGGAUUCAUUGGGCGUAAAGCGCGCGUAGGCGGCUCGGAAAGUCGGGCGUGAAAUGCCGGGGCUCAACCCCGGGACUGCGUCCGAUACUUCCGAGCUGGAGGUAGGUAGGGGAGAUCGGAAUUCCUGGUGUAGCGGUGAAAUGCGCAGAUAUCAGGAGGAACACCGGUGGCGAAGGCGGAUCUCUGGGCCUUACCUGACGCUGAGGCGCGAAAGCUAGGGGAGCGAAC
rnacentral:rRNA from 1 species